rnacentral:tRNA from 1 species
GUCACAAUAAUGUCGGUGGAAGGCUGGUUAAACCGUUUGGUUUACGACCACUACGACCCGGGUUCGAUCCCCGCAUUGGACA